CGCGUAGGCGGUCUCUUAAGUCAGGUGUGAAAGCCCGGGGCUCAACCCCGGAAGUGCACUUGAAACUAAGGGACUUGAGUAUGGGAGAGGGAAGUGGAAUUCCUGGUGUAGCGGUGAAAUGCGUAGAUAUCAGGAGGAACACCGGUGGCGAAGGCGACUUCCUGGACCAAUACUGACGCUGAGGCGCGAAGGCGUGGGGAGCAAACA
rnacentral:rRNA from 1 species